rnacentral:rRNA from 1 species
GACGAACGCUGGCGGCGUGCUUAACACAUGCAAGUCGAACGGUAAGGCCCUUCGGGGUACACGAGUGGCGAACGGGUGAGUAACACGUGGGUGAUCUGCCCUGCACUUCGGGAUAAGCCUGGGAAACUGGGUCUAAUACCGGAUAGGACCACUGCCUGCAUGGGUGGUGGUGGAAAGCUUUUGCGGUGUGGGAUGGGCCCACGGCCUAUCGGCUUGUUGGGGGGGUGAUGGCCUACCAAGGCGACGACGGGUAGCCGGCCUGAGAGGGUGACCGGCCACACUGGGACUGAGAUGCGGCCCAGACUGCUACGGGAGGCAGCAGUGGGGAAUAUUGCACAAUGGGCGCAAGCCUGAUGCAGCGACGCCGCGUGAGGGAUGACGGCCUUCGGGUUGUAAACCUCUUUCAGCACCGACGAAGCGCAAGUGACGGUAGGUGCAGAAGAAGGACCGGCCAACUACGUGCCAGCCGCCGCCGUAA